CCCCUGGCGGCGCCGUUCGAGCGGGCCUGAGAUAACGGCCGCGGCGGGGGCGCGGCCCCUCCGUCCCCUCCCGCCGCCGUGCCCGGUCCCUCCGCUCCACAGCGCCGCCCGCAGCCGGCGGGCCUCGGCGGGCCGACACAGCCAACCAGAGCCGGGCGCCUGACGGCGAAAAGCGAGCGGUAACGGGACUGGUGCGCGCUGCGGGGCCGGAGGCGGAGCCGCGCCGUCCCUCAGGCCGUAGCCCCCCCUCAGGCCGCAGCCCUUUCUCCCGCCCUGCGGUCCUCGCCCGUCUCAGCGCCGCCCGUUCCCCGCCGAGGGUAAAAUAUCCUUGUAUGCCUGCACACAGACAGGCCCAUCACCCAGGGAGCCAAAGUUCAGCUUCUCAAGUCUGAUUUAUGCUGCCAGUUUGAGUGGCCAGCUGAGGAGUCACUUCACUGAGAGCUGGAAGGUGCUGGGCUGUGGUAGCAACAGAAUGGUGUAAUGAGAAGGAUGGAAUCUCAAAGUGUUUGGACCUUGAAUCACUAACAGACUGGAAUAAAUUCCAAGGGCAGGAGUCCAGUUGCCCUAGGUUGGAAUAACAUCUCAUGGAGCUGUAACUCACUUCUGGAAGCAGACACAGGAGGAAACACAACCUGCAUAUUGCACCAUCUGCUGGUAGCAUCUCCACCAACAGACACACCUAGAACAGAUUUUAUAAUUCCUCUCAAACCUGGCUGGAUACCUCCACAUUUAGAGACAUGAGACCACCAUUACAAAGAUUCAAGAUUCAGGCAGGACAGACCGGCCUCCACCAGCAGCUGUUGCAGUCAGCAGGAGCCAUAGCACCCGAAGAAGAGGUAUAGCCUCUCUGGCCCCAUCACCUGCUGCCUGAGGAUGGUUGUGGUCAAGCGGCUCAUCGCCCUCCGGGCAAAGCCUUUGGUGCGGAUGGGUCUGUGCCGGUCCCGUAGCAGCGCUGUGCCGCGUCUUGUCCUCAUCACAGAGCCAUUCCCUCCGAAACUGCUGAACUCCCUGCUGGAAACUCUCACCUGAAGAAUGGGACACAAUGAUGCUUGUAGGGUUCCUUGCCCAUCCCAGAGACUUAAUAUAUAUUAAAAUUAAACACAGCGCUUCGUUACUGUCGAAGACAUCGUAACGUGAGUGAAGUGA